rnacentral:tRNA from 1 species
GCUUUGAUAGUUUAAACAAAACACUGGUCUUGUAAACCAGAAAUGAACAUAACGUUCUCAAAUCA